GCGGGAGUAGCUCAGUUGGUAGAGCGCAACCUUGCCAAGGUUGAGGUCGCGGGUUCGAGACCCGUUUCCCGCUCCA
rnacentral:tRNA from 1 species